rnacentral:rRNA from 1 species
AUGGUACUUACUUUGAUUGCCAGCUGCACCCUGCAUCCCAAGAAGACCUUGUUUGCUUCGUCCAAGAUCUUGUCACCGUGCUUGAUCAGUUUGUUGGAGUACCAUGACAGGAAAAACUUCCCCUUCUCUGUGAGGUAUGUUCCGUUGUCCUUGAAGAAUUGGGUUUUCUCGGGAGUGUCGUUGUACUCUCCAGCAUCGUCAGGCAAUUCCCACUCAGGGUGGCCAGCCUUCGCCGCUGCUGCUUUGAAGUCUGCUUCCAGGUCAAGCGGAUGUAGAAAACUUAACAGAUCAGGAUACCAUCACCAAAAGAAAAGAAAAACAGAUCAGGAUACCAGUUCAGAUAAAACUUAA